rnacentral:rRNA from 1 species
UACAGAGGUCUCAAGCGUUGUUCGGAUUCAUUGGGCGUAAAGGGUGCGUAGGUGGCGCGCUAAGUCAGGUGUGAAAUUUCGGAGCUCAACUCCGAAACUGCAUUUGAUACUGGCGUGCUUGAGGACUGGAGAGGAGACUGGAAUUCACGGUGUAGCAGUGAAAUGCGUAGAUAUCGUGAGGAAGACCAGUGGCGAAGGCGGGUCUCUGGACAGUUCCUGACACUGAGGCACGAAGGCCAGGGGAGCGAAACGGG